rnacentral:tRNA from 1 species
CCUGGUGGCUCAGACAGUAAAGUGUUUGCCUACAAUGCAAGAGACCCAGGUUUGAUCCCUGGGUCAGGA